AAAUCUGUUUUUUCUCUCUCGUGUUUCUCAUCGCCGAAGCCGUCUUCGAACUCCAAAGCCCUACCCUAGCUCUCUAGACGCUCACUCACGACGAUUCUCCUCGGCCGCCAUCCUCACCAACCUGGCAUCUCCAGUGCCUUUAACCUCACCAUCGAGAGGACAACCCAUAUCGCUAGGGCCUACGACGUCAGCAACCUCAACGACUGCUCCUCCGAUUUCCAAAGGAUACACAACCUGGACUUCUAAGAGCACAAAAUCCUACAAAGAAACUGAUCCAAUUGGGGGUGCAGUUCAUCUCCAUGGACAAAUAAUCAAGGAUUCGGUGGAAAAUCUAAAGAUCAAGGGGUAUGUCUGAAAGCUAUGUUGGGGAUGCAAUGUUUUCAAUUCAUAGAUUUUAAGCUAAUUUGAUGAUUCAAUUUAUGUUGGCAAUUUAGUUACUUGAGUAUCAAAUCAAGAAUUAGUUUAGUUGAUGCAUUAUUUAAGAUUCAUAGAUUCAUAGAUUUGGCUUGAUUUGAUGA